rnacentral:rRNA from 1 species
GGAUUAGAUACCCUGGUAGUCCACGCUGUAAACGAUGUGUGCUAGUUGUCGGGCCCUUUAGGGUUCGGUGACGGAGAGAAAUCAUUAAGCACACCGCCUGGGGAGUACGGUCGCAAGAUUAAAACUCAAAGGAAUUGACGGGGACCCGCACAAGCGGUGGAGCAUGUUGUUUAAUUCGAAGCAACGCGAAGAACCUUACCUACCCUUGACAUACUUGUCGGGAAUUUCAGAGAUGAUUUUCUUCAGUUAGGCUGGACAAUGUACAGGUGCUGCAUGGCUGUCGUCAGCUCGUGUCG